rnacentral:lncRNA from 1 species
AUGCCAGACUCGGCUUUUCCUUCUCACAUUUCACUUCUUGCUCCUAGUAACAAGGUGAACCUCGACUCCUGCGGUAUGCCGGCCAAAGGCCCCUUGGACUUCUCCCUCGCCUUAGCCUCCUCUGCCUCUGCCUCGAGCCCCAGCCAUUCUCUGCCACCUCACACAUUCCAUUGCCCAUUCCUGGAUUCUGCAGUAAAGGCUGGGGCCACUGGUGGUGCUCUCUCUCUGUCUCCCUCUCCUCUUCUCUCUCCUCUCUCCCUCUAUCCUCUCUCUACUCCUCUCUCCCCUCUUCUUUCUCUCUUCCUCUUUCUCCCUCUUUCUCUCUCUCUGUCUCCCUCUCUUCUUCUCUCUCCACUCCUCUCUCCCCUCUUCUUUCUCUCUGUCUCCUUUCUCUUCUCUGUCUCCUCUCUCCUCUCUCCCUCUCUUGCUCCUCUUCUCUCUCCCCUCUUCUCUAUCUCUUUCUCCACCCUCAGAGGAGCACACAGAUGGGUCCAUGCCAUGGAGCCAUCAUCAUCUGUCUCUUCCUCAUGUUCCCUCUAAUCUCUAACCCUUUACCCACUUUCCUUUUAGGGGCUCCCGCAUGA